CGUUGUCUUUUAUGCCUUUGAGACUGUAAAGAUUAGCACUCUUGGCACAUUGAUGAAUUGGAAGGAUUUUCUUAACUCAACUAACACUCACUUUAGUUAACAACACAGUCUGAGAACACUCGAAAAAGUUGUCUUUUAAUUUUAAAUUUGAUAAAGGUAAAUCCCAGACCGAUAGUUCUGAGUGAUGUCUUCAGUACAGUUUGAAUGGUAAAGAUUUUU
rnacentral:lncRNA from 1 species